rnacentral:rRNA from 1 species
UCCUGGCCCUAAACAAUGUUCAUUGGGUGUUAAAGGUAUCGACCCCUUUAGUGCCGUAGCUAACGCGUUAAAUGAACCGCCUGGGGAUUACGAUCGCAAGAUUAAAACUCAAAAGAAUUGACGGGGGCCCGCACAAGCGGUGGAGCAUGUGGUUUAAUUCGAUGCUACGCGAACAACCUUACCUGGGCUUGACAUGUUGGUAGUAGUGAACCGAAAGGGGAACGAUCCGGAGCAAUCCGGAAGCCUUCACAGGUGCUGCAUGGCUGUCGUCAGUUCGUGUCGUGAGAUGUUUGGUUAAGUCCAACAACGAACGCAACCCCCAUUGCCAGUUGACAGCGUAAAGUCGGUCACUCUGGCGAAACUGCCCCUGAUGAAGGGGAGGAAGGUGGGGACGAGGUCAAGUCAUCAUG